GGAUGCUAACCAUGCAGUCGAGCGGAAGGCUCCUUCCGGAGUACUCGAGCGGCGAACGGGUGAGUAACACGUGGGUAAUCUGCCCAGGACACAGGAAUAACCAGUGGAAACGCUGGCUAAUGCCUGAUGACGUGCAGACCUCUUGGGGUUCUGUACCAAAGGUAGCUUCGGCCUCCGGUCCUGGAUGAGCCCGCGGCCCAUUAGCUUGUUGGCGGGGUAACGGCCCACCAAGGCGACGAUGGGUAGCUGGUCUGAGAGGACGAUCAGCCACACUGGGACUGAGACACGGCCCAGACUCCUACGGGAGGCAGCAGUGGGGAAUCUUGCGCAAUGGGCGAAAGCCUGACGCAGCAACGCCGCGUGCGGGAAGAAGGCCUUCGGGUUGUAAACCGCUUUCAGCGGGGAAGAAGGCGAGCGGGUUAAUAGCCCGUCAGCUGACGGUACCCGCAGAAGAAGGUCCGGCUAACUACGUGCCAGCAGCCGCGGUAAUACGUAGGGACCGAGCGUUGUCCGGAAUCAUUGGGCGUAAAGAGCGUGUANGCGGCCACUUAAGUCCUGCGUGAAAUCUUGCGGCUCAACCGCAAGCGGUCGUGGGAAACUGGGUGGCUAGAGUGCGGGAGAGGAGAGUGGAAUUCCUGGUGUAGCGGUGGAAUGCGCAAAUAUCAGGAAGAACACCCGUGGCGAAAGCGGCUCUCUGGGAACGCACUGACCCUGAAACGCGAAAGCGUGGGGAGCAAACAGGAUUAGAUACCCUGGUAUUCCCCGCCAUAAACGAUGGACGCUAGGUGGGGGCCGGUGUCAACUCCGUCCGUUGCCGGCCUAACGCAUUAGCGGUCCCGCCUGGGGGAGUACCGGCGCCAGGGCUAAAACUCCAAGGAAUUGACA
rnacentral:rRNA from 1 species